GACGAACGCUGGCGGCGUGCUUAACACAUGCAAGUCGAGCGGUAAGGCCCUUUCGGGGGUACACGAGCGGCGAACGGGUGAGUAACACGUGGGUGACCUGCCCUUAGCUCUGGGAUAAGCCUGGGAAACUGGGUCUAAUACCGGAUAUGACUCCAUAACGCAUGUUGUGGGGUGGAAAGCCUUGUGCGGCUAGGGAUGGGCCCGCGGCCUAUCAGCUUGUUGGUGGGGUGAUGGCCUACCAAGGCGACGACGGGUAGCCGGCCUGAGAGGGCGACCGGCCACACU
rnacentral:rRNA from 1 species